rnacentral:lncRNA from 1 species
AGGGUUACAGCUAAGGAAAGGAUAAAUGGGAGAGAAGAACAGGACAUCCUCACCACCAUCGUCUUAGCAUCAAAGACCCUCUUUUUUCUUCUUCCAAAUUCUGUUCUUGUAAUUUUGUUACAAUCCAACCAUGGCUUCCUCUAGCAAUUCUAAGAGACCCUUUUGUUCUUCUUCUUCUUCUAAUUCUAAAUGGAGGUACGAUGUGUUCUUGAGUUUCAGAGGCGAGGAUACCCGCAACAACUUUACUAGUCAUCUCUACAAGGAUUUGGAUAAGGCCAACAUUAAAACCUUUAAAGAUGAUGAAGAACUUCGAAAGGGAGGAGAGAUUGCACCCGAGCUCCUAAAAGCUAUUGAAGAAUCAAGGAUCGCCAUUAUCGUCUUCUCGAAAACCUAUGCUCAUUCCAAGUGGUGCUUGGAUGAACUCGUCAAGAUCAUGGAGUGCCAGAAAGAAAAGGGACAAAUAGUUUAUCCCGUUUUCUAUCACGUACGGCCGUGUGAAGUCAGGAACCAGUAUGGGACUUAUGGAGAAGAAUUUAAGAAACACGAGAGCAAUGCGGACGAGGAGAAGAAGAAGAAAAUAGGGGAGUGGAGGACUGCCUUAAGGAAAGCCGGUGAUUUGAGUGGAUUUAGUCUGCGGGAUAGGUAAUCCCUACUUCACUUUUUCCAUUUCCAAUUUUCUGUCAGUUUAUUUUCAUUCUUGUUAGUAAAUAAAAUAUUUAUGAUUACAUAUAUCAAUCAAAAUCCAGUUUUUAAGUAGUAGACAUUAAUAUGUUUGAUUUCUUGGAAAGUAAUAAGAAGAGUUAAAAAUAAAUAAAAAUAAAAAUUUAAAAAAUUUGAUUUUCUUAUAUUUAAUGUAUUAUUAAAAAAUAUGAAAGAAAAUAAAAAUAUAAUUAAAAUACAUUGUAAAAAUAUAUAUAAUUAGUUUAUAAUUAAAAUAAUCUUAGAAAAUCUAUAGUAGUUGUUCUGGGCUCAUUCAGGCCCAACAGGUAAUCCCUAUUUCACUUUUUCCAUUACCAAUUUUCUGUCGGUUUAUUUUCAUUCUUGUUAAUAAAUAAAAUAUUUAUGAUUACAUUUAUCAAUCAAAAUCCAUUUUUAAGUAGUAGACAUUAAUAUGUUUGAUUUCUUGGAAAGUAAUAAGAAAGAGUAAAAAAAAAAAUUGACUUUCUCACAUUUAAUUUAUUAUUAAAAUUAUAAAAGGAAAUCAAAUAUAAUUAAAAUAUAUCGAAAAAAAAAAUAUUUGCCUACAAUUGGGAUAAUAUUAGAAAAUCUAUAGUAGGUGUUGUGGGCUCAUUCAGGCCCAGGUAAUACUGGUAAAAAAAUAAAAUAAAAUAAUUAUGCCAAAUGCCAAGUUUUGAAUUGUUAAAAAUCUUUAAGAUUCCAAAAUAUUCUUCCUUUCUAAUCAAUCCAUCUCAGCCAUAAUUUCUAUCAAUUAAAUUGUUCAAAUUGGUUAUUUAUAUGCUUUGUAAAUUUGGAGAUAAUCUGAGAUGAUUAUUUAAAAUAUUGUAAUACUACCCUAAAUUUUUUUGGACCCUCUUAUGGGACAAAAAACUUAGUUAUUGCACCCUUAACCUUUUUCAAUUUUAGAGGAAUUUUCUAUUACUAAAAUAAUUUUCUCAUGUUCUCUGUGCACUACAUGAGUUUACAUUUCUUCUUUACUUAAUAUUGUUUGUUCCUCUAUAUUUGCAAGUUGAUUAUUAAAUUUAUUUACCUUUUAAUCUAAUGUUUGUAUCUCGUUUUAUUCUAAUUAUCCCAUGACAUCUGGAUAAUCUCUUCUUAAGACCUUGACAUGACAUAAUGAAAUUUUAUUUAAACAUGCAAUUCAACACAUUUUUAAUUUACAUUCUAUUUGACCUUAAUUUAAUUGCACCGAACUAAAGAUCAUUCUAUAAUUUCCAUUUACUUCAUCUUUGUUUUCUUUGACAAUUGAUUGUAGCUUACUCCAUGUUUUAUUGUACUUUAUAAUGGACAGAUCUGAGGCAGAGUUUAUUGAAGAAAUCAUUGGUGAGAUUCGAAGAUUAAUUCCUAAGUGGGUACAUGUUGGUGAGAAUAUUGUUGGAAUGGAUGAAAAUUUGAAAAAAGUGAAGUUAUUGAUAGAUGCCCAAUCAAAUAAAGUGAGUAUGGUUGGGAUUUAUGGGACUGGUGGGAUUGGUAAAACUACCAUCGCCAAGGUUGUUUACAAUGAUAUGUUAGAUCAAUUUAAAUGUCACAGCUUUCUUGAAAAUGUGAGAGAGAAAUAUGAAGAUAAAGGUGAUUUGCUUCAAUUACAAAAAGAACUUCUUUGUGAUAUCCUAAUGGAGAAAAAUCUGGUGUUAAGGAAUAUUGAUGAAGGAUUUAAAAAGAUAAAGAGUAAGCGUCACUCUGAAAAGGUUCUUAUUGUUCUUGAUGAUGUAGGUUGUGAAGAACAAUUAAAAUUCUUAGCUCCUAAUUCUGAAUGUUUUCAUCCAGGAAGCAUAAUCAUUGUGACCACGAGAAAUAAGCGUUGCCUAGAUGUAUAUGACUCGUAUUCAUCAUAUGAGGCUAAGAGAAUGGCAGACAAGCAAGCUGAGGAACUCUUUUGUUGGAAUGCCUUCAAGCAAGACCAUCCCAUAGAAAAUUUUGUGGGCCUCUCUAAUCGUAUACUGGAUUAUGCUGACGGCCUUCCAUUGGCUCUUGUAGUUUUGGGUUCUUUUCUCUUUCAAAGGCCUAUGGAUGAAUGGGAAAGCACAUUGGAUGAACUCAAAACAAUCCCUCCCGAGAAUAUUCAAAAGGUACUCCAGAUAAGUUAUGAUGGACUAAGUGAUGAACGCAAGAAGUUGUUUCUUUAUAUUGCAUGCUUCUUCAAAGAUGAGGAUGAAAAAAUGGCAACAAGAAUACUAGAAAGUUGCAAAUUACAUCCCGCUAUUGGACUAAGAGUUCUUCAUGAGAGGUGUCUUAUUUCUAUAGAGGACAACACUAUAAGGAUGCAUGACUUGUUACAAGAAAUGGGUUGGGCAAUUGUUUGCAAUGAUCCAGAACGUCCAGGAAAAUGGAGCAGAUUGUGCGAAUUACAGGAUAUUGAAAGUGUAUUAUCACAAAAUGAGGUAAGAGAAAAAUACAUGAACAUACUUGAGAUCUAAAGACAUAAAAGAUUCAACAAGAUUUAUUUUUAUUAUUAUUAUAGUUUGAGUAUAUUAUCUAUAUAAUUUUAGUGAAUCCCUAUGCAUCUUAUACUGCUCAUUCUCAAUCCUUGUUUUCAGUGGACAAAAAACAUUGAGGGGAUUUUCACAAGUCAGUCUCGCCAUACAGGAAAACAUAUACAACUUACUACUGAAGUUUUCAGAAAUAUGAAUCAACUUAGAUUGCUCAAAGUCGAAUUCAAUCAGAUCGUGCAGCUUUCCCAAGACUUUGAAUUGCCUUGUCAUGAUUUAGUAUAUUUUCAUUGGGAUUACUACCCUUUAGAAUAUUUGCCAUCAAAUUUUCAUACAGACAAUCUUGUUGAACUCAACCUCUGGUGUAGCCGCAUAAAACAUCUUUGGGAAGGAAAUAUGGUAUUGCUAUUAUUUAGUUAUAUUUUUGUUGUAGACUAAUUUUAAAGUCUUUUGAAGUUUACUUCUUGACACAAAUUUUCUUCUGUUACAGCCUGCUAAAAAGUUAAAAGUCAUUGAUCUUAGUUAUUCCAUGCAUCUGGUUGACAUUUCAAGCAUCUCAAGUAUGCCAAAUUUGGAGACUCUAACUCUAAAAGGUUGUACAAGGUUCCUUAAGUGUUUCAUCCAUGCUAAAUGUUAUUAUCAGUCAUGAACUAAUUGUUUUCUUGAAUAUAAUAGGGUGCACGAGACUUAAGAGUCUUCCAAGGAACUUUCCUAAGUUGGAAUGCCUUCAAACACUCUCUUGUUGUGGCUGUUCAAACUUAGAGAGUUUUCCGAAGAUCGAGGAAGAAAUGAGAAGUCUAAGAAAGCUUAAUUUAAGUCAAACAGGUAUAAUGGGAUUACCAUCAUCAAUUAGCAAGCUAAAUGGGCUUAAAGAGUUGGACUUAAGUAGUUGCAAAAAGCUUUCGAGUCUUCCGGACAGUAUUUAUAGUUUGAGCUCUCUUCAAACUCUCAAUCUAUUUGCAUGUUCACGACUAGUGGGCUUUCCGGGUAUCAAUAUUGGAAGUCUAAAAGCUCUUAAAUACUUGGAUUUGUCAUGGUGUGAGAACCUUGAGAGUCUUCCGAAUAGUAUUGGUAGUUUGAGCUCUCUUCAAACUCUUUUAUUGAUAGGGUGUUCAAAACUGAAGGGCUUUCCAGAUAUCAAUUUUGGAAGUCUAAAAGCUCUUGAAUCGUUAGAUUUCUCAGGUUGCAGAAACCUUGAGAGUCUUCCCGUGAGCAUUUACAAUGUAAGCUCUCUCAAAACUUUGGGGAUUACAAAUUGUCCAAAACUCGAGGAAAUGUUAGAGAUGAAACUAGGGGUUGAUCCAUGCCCCUGGCCAUUUUCACCUCUAACCUGUCACAUUUCAAAUUCAGCAAUAAUCUGGGAUGAUCACUGGCAUGACUGCUUUUCCUCAUUAGAAGCAUUAGACUCACAGUGCCCCCUGUCAUCACUGGUAGAAUUAUCUGUAAGAAAGUUUUAUGACAUGGAAGAAGACAUCCCCAUUGGCAGUUCCCACCUAACCUCAUUGGAAAUAUUAUCUCUGGGGAACGUCCCUACAGUAGUAGAAGGAAUCCUCUAUGACAUUUUCCAUCUAUCUUCAUUGGUAAAAUUAUCUCUUACUAAAUGCAAGCCAACAGAAGAAGGAAUCCCCCGUGAUAUUCAGAACCUAUCUCCACUGCAACAAUUAUCUCUACAUGACUGCAAUCUAAUGAAAGGAACGAUCCUCGAUCAUAUUUGCCAUCUAACAUCCUUGGAAGAAUUAUAUCUGGGUUGGAACCAUUUUAGUAGCAUUCCUGCUGGCAUCAGUCGACUUUCCAAUCUAAAAGCCCUUGACUUGAGUCACUGCAAGAAGCUUCAACAAAUUCCAGAGCUUCCAUCUAGUCUACGAUUUUUAGAUGCGCACUGUCCGGAUCGUAUUUCAUCAAGCCCCUUGCUUCUACCUAUUCAUUCUAUGGUCAAUUGCUUCAAAUCAAAAAUUGAGGUAUGAUUCUCAUGCCACGUUCCUUUUUCUUUUGUACCCAUUGGAUUUACAUGGUGCUUUCGUGCAGGGGCGCAAGGUUAUUAAUAGGUAUUCUUCCUUCUAUGGCAAUGGGAUUGGUAUUGUUAUUCCUAGUAGUGGAAUUCUAGAGUGGAUAACGUAUCGGAAUAUGGGAAGGCAAGUAACAAUAGAGCUCCCUCCGAAUUGGUAUAAAAAUGAUGACUUGUGGGGAUUUGCUUUAUGCUGUGUUUAUGUUGCACCUGCCUGUAAAUCUGAGGAUGAAUCUCAGUAUGAAUCAGGUCUUAUAUCUGAGGAUGACAGUGACCUUAAAGAUGAAGAAGCAAGCUUUUAUUGUGAAUUGACAAUCGAAGGAAAUAAUCAAUCAGAAGACGUGGGUCAUUUCUUUCUUCAUUCUCGCUGUAUUAAGGAUGAUGUAUCAGAUAUGCAGUGGGUGAUAUGUUAUCCCAAGUUAGCUAUUGAGAAAAGUUAUCACACCAAUCAAUGGACACACUUCAAGGCUUCAUUUGGUGGUGCCCAAGUGGAAGAGUGCGGAAUCCGUCUUGUAUACAGAAAAGAUUAUGAACAGAAGCAUCCAAGAAUGGCACAAGGCAGUACUUCUCAUGGGAAUUUUGGUGAGCAUGGAUCAGUAAGAGAAGAUACUGAUAGUAAAGCUCACAAUAAAAGGAAUCCCACAGAACAGAGCCCAGGAGAGGAGUCACACCAUAAAAGAUCCAGAGAAACCCAAGACUGAUCUCAAGUAUUAGGCUCAACCACACUUGCAUCACUAAUGCUCUCUUUACUGGUAAUUCAUCUUCCUUUCUCUUUCUAAUUCAAAGGUCAGAAUUUUUUUUUUAUCGUGUUUCUCCUUUUUAUUUGUUUUUUUUUUCCCCAAGACAAACAAAACUUUGAGGCUAUCACCCAUGGGCGCAAACUUCAAUGGUACACCUCCCAAGUUUGUUUUUCUCUCUCUCCAACCGUCUCUCCCUAGAUUUUUCUGCAUUUUCUUCAAACUCAUAUUUCCAUAUGAAAUUCAAUUACAUUCGAGCAUUUCAAUCUCUGUAGCUACUGUCUGAAUCAAUUAUAGGGUUUCUUUUUUCUGGAAGUUUGUAAUGUUAUUGAUUUAAGACUUCAUGUUUGGGGAUGUUUUGGGUGGCUUGUUCACUGGUAUUACUUGUGAUAAUUGCAGCUCUGGUGCUUUCAAUGACUGACAAUAGUUGAAACUAUGUUGAAUGCUUGUACUAAGGGAAUGGACUUCAGCUGCUCCAGGGUUAGUGCUAUAACAUCAGUAUUCACUCUUCAAGAAUGUAUAUAGUUGUUGUUUUGGAAUUUUGAAAUUACUUAGCAUCAGACAAUUUCUAACUCGGGAUUUGGAUUGGGAACCAUAAGUUAUCUCACCCUAGUGUUCUUUGGAAUAAUUAUAGGAUUUUGUAAGUAACUUUGGACUUGUUAGCAAUGUUCUGGAUUUGUGAAUAAUUUAUAGAAUACAUUGGGUGUUUUUUUUUUUUGGUCCAUCAAAAACUUCAAGAACUUUGAGGGUGAAUAAUGUAUGACUGUACUCUUCUCUAUCUCUGUGGUCAUAGCACACGUAUGAUUUGGUGCUUUUUUGCAGGCCUUCAACAGCAGCAAAGCAUCUGGUGGCUUGCAGUACUAAUCUUGCAUUAUAUUCUCUGUUUUGCAAUCAUUUGGUACUUUUUGUCCCAACCAAGGAUAGCUCUGUGCAAGCAGUCUCGACUGUGGAACAAGUAAAACAAAUGGUACCUGCUGAAGCUGAGAGUGCAGAUGAUAAACUGGUGCGGAAGGUGGUCAACCAAAAGAAUCAGACAGCAAAAACUAAAAAGCCCAUGAAGCCUGCUACUGAAGCAGUCUCAGCACCUGUUUCUAGGAGGGGUGAGAUUGAAGUGACUGAAGAAAAGGAGCAUCAGCAAACAAAGAAGGAAGAGGAGUUGGCCAGGAAGGUAGAGGAAUUGAGAAGUGAAGAAGAAGCAGCCAUGUUGAAGGAGCAAAGUCUGUUGGAGGAGAGAAAGCCAACGUUAAGGAGGCACUGGAAAGGCAACAAGGAACUGCAGAAAAGGCCAAUUUCUCUGUGAGUGCUGCCACCUUUUCAUGAUACAGCCAUCAUAAUGGAUGUUAAAAGCAGUCUAACUCUACAUACUUCCUUGCAUUAUACUAGUCAUUGAUGGGCUUAAAUUUUAAUUUAAAUGUAGUAUAAAUAUAUAAGUAGAUUGAUUGGGUCUGAAUUUGAACCUGGUUCGAGUCAUACUCCCAUCCAAUCCAAACUUGUGAUUGGGCUUGAAUUUCUUGGCCCAACCAGCGAAAUCAUUGACCAACGGCCCUUAGUUUGGGCUGGGCUUGAUGGUCCUCAGGUUAUGUAGGCUUAAUACUGAUUGGGUUUGGGCUUCCAUGCAGUUGUACUUGGAUUCUAUGUUUCCUAAUAUUAACACUAAAUUAGGUUUAAUUUAUAAUUAAAUAUAAUUAGUUUGAGACUAACUCCAAUCUUUAGUUAAACCAACUAAGUUUUAUGCAAAGGUUUAUAUUCCUAAUACCAUCAGGUAUUAUAGUAAAUACCAUUGAAAAACUAAAUUCAUGUGGAAGUUUCACUAGGUGAUACGACAUUAAAUUAUUAAGAUAAAAUUAAAAAAAGAUCAUGCUCGUAUGUCCCGUUGUUUGUCAUAAGAGAAUUUCUUUCUAGAUUUUUUUUUUUUUGCUCUUUUCAAUUCUAGAUAUUUUAAUAUAUCUUUACUUUUUCAAAAACAAUCCAUAGGAUUGUUCCCAAACAUAUAUCAUAUAAAUAUAUAUUUUUAAGAUUGAUUUUUAAGAAUGUUAUCAAAUAAACUCAUAAUAGCAUUUUUUUCUUUACAAUUACCAAUUCGUAUGAUGAAUUAAUUACUUUCAAUAACCGACAUCAUCUAAUCAAAAUUAUAAUUAAGUAUCAUAUUAAAAGAGUGUUUAAAAAAUCAAAUUUAAUAACUUAAAGUGAUUUAAUAAUUUAAUUUAAAUUAUUAAAAUAACUUGAUGUCACAAUUUAAAGUUAGAAAUGACUUAAUUUAUUUUUAUUUAAAUUUAAAACUAAGUUUACAAAAAAGGUUUAAAAUUCAUAUCAAUUAAGAAAUUAAGUCAUUAAGUUACUUUAAGCCAUUAAAUUGAUCUACCAAUUAAACACCCUUGAAGAUAUUACAUAAAGUUCACCUUCUACAUAUCAUGAAAAUUUAAAAUUAAUUACAACAUCAAGAAUCUUUAGUUCCUAAUCGAUAUCAUAUUUAAUCCUUGGUUGUAAAUUUCUUUACAUAUGUAGAUAUAUUUUUAUAUUGCAAGUGGGUUGCCGACUUUUCAUUUUAUACUAGUUUUGAAAUUAAGAUUGUAGUUUUUAUUUUGUCCAAAUCUAAUUUGGAGGGAGAAUCUUUAGAGGCUAUUUUAUAUUCAAAUAGGAAAAUUUUAAAUUUAAUAGUCCCACCUUAUAAAGGCAAAUAUCUUGGACCCUACAUGGGUGCCUCUUACAUGCAAAAGGACAAAGACUUAUUGAAAGCCUCUCUCAUUCACAUGGAUGCCAUCAUUCAUCAAAGUUGAAACAUGAAACCCACACAAAAGCAAUUUCAAUAUUUUUUUUCAUAACUAUAGCUGAGAAUCUCAAUAUUAUUAAAUAGUGACAAAAUUAAUUUCAAUAUUUUUUUUUCUUAUUUUUUGCUCCUUGUGGUUAUAUUUUCAUCUGGAAAGUAUUAAAUAUAUUAAAAAAGAAAAAAAUUAUAAAAAAAUUUUUUUCCUAGUUAAUUAUACUAUGAAAAAUAUAGAGUAAAAUAAAAUAUAAUUAAAAUUAGUUAAAAAAUUAUAUUUUUAUAAAAUUAUUUGACUUUUUUAUAAAAAUUUAAAAUAAGUGACAUGAGUUUGAAAUAGUAUAUAUAUUGACUUUAAUUCUUUCAAAUUAAUCACUAGGUUGUUAGAGACAUACACCUAUGAUCCAAAGGUUUUCCCAACAAAGAUAUCAAUAAAUCUUUCUACUCCAUUGAUUGCAUCUUGAAUUCUUUCAAAUUAAUCACUUCAUUGUAAUCAUUAUUCACUUCAUUGUGAUUUGUCAGACAACAAUUCAUUUCUGCUUCAUGGUUGGACCUUGAGGUAAGGCUUUAGAGGCAUAAGCCUCAAAAGCCUCUUAAAAUUGGUUCUACACUUCUUGCAUGAUGAAUGCAAGUUCCAAAUUUUGAUGACUUGGUAAUGUUGGAGUAAUUGGGUUGAAAGCAGUCAAACACAAAUAUUUAUUAAAGAAGAUAAAAAUUUGGAAGAAUUAAAAUUUUAUUGUAUUCUACCACUCUUUUUUUUAUUCAAAUAUUACAUAAUCCUUUAUUAACUAAAAAUGACAUAAUUAAAAGUAAAUUAUCAUUUGAUUGCAAUGGAUUUAAUAGAAUAUGGUGGAUAUGCUAAAUUUUUGUCUGAUAAUAAAAUUUGAUUUGAGUGAAUAUAAUUAGAGUAAAAUAGUCUUUUUAACUAUCACUUUUACAAUAAAAAGUGUUUUAUUUAAACAAAUAUUUAAUAAAAUUUUAAAAACAUUUGAUAAAUAAUUAUUAUAAAAACUCUUCCUCGAAAAUACUUCAAAGUUCGUCGGAUGGUAAAUUAUACAUCAAGAUCUUAAUGAUGGUCCAUGCAACCAUCACCAUUGAUUGUUUUUGAAAACACAACUUCAAUUUAAAUAAUAUUUUAAGGUAACUCCUAGUUAUCAUAUUUUACAAGAUAUUUUUUAAAAUUAUUGUUUUUUUUCUUUCAAAAUCCUAAGAGAGAGGUCACCAAUAUCAAAAUAAUGUGACCCAUCUCUAUACUAUUGUCUCCAUUAUUUGGACUAUAUCAUAGUUUCCUUAUUGACAACAUGGUAGCCAUGUUAAAUACCUACAACUUUGAAAACAAGAUCUCAAAACUAUGCCUAUUUGAUUAUAAGGCUUAAUUAUUAUAGUUUAUCAUUUCCUAGCAUAUAUAGUUCUUAGCAUCUAAGUAUUUGUUAUAUAAGAAUUUUUCUCAUUUUUCAAGCUUGCAUUUUGUUUAGAAAUUUUUUGAGUUUUUUACAAUCAUUUUGAAAAUGUCAACUCAUAAUUAUAUACAUUUUAGUUCUAUAAGGACUAAAAUCACUUAACAUCAUGGUAAUACUAUUUAAGGUAAUUUGCUUUGAAUCAGAAUGAACUUAUAUACAACUUACGAUUUAUGGUAAUAAUAGAGAUCGAAUUUAAAAAUACAUAAGUUUUCAAUUAAAUAUUAAUAUAUUUAUGUUUCCUUCUUAUUUUUAAUCCUAAAACACAUUAAAUGUAUGCUCUUGAAUUCCUCCAUGUAAUGCGAUUUGAUAUAAUGAUAAAUCAACAAUUAUGAUUUAAUAAUAUGGUGCUUUGACUUUUGACAUUUAAGUAACACCGUCAAUAAAAGCUCCAUAUCUUUGCUUCAUGGAAGAACGUACAAAUGAUGUGAUUGAAUUACAUUUCAAUUAUGUUUGAUUCUUUGAAAAUACUCAAGAAAAAUAAAUAUUUAAAAAAAUAAUUUUCUCAUAUUUGAUUUUACUAUAAAAAAAAUACAUAAUUAAAAUUAGUAAUAAAUUUAAAUAAUUUUAAAUUACUUAAUCUUUAUAUAAAAAAGUUAAAUUAGUAAAACGAGUUUAAAACAUGAUAUAAAGGUAAUUUAUUGACUUUAAUUUUUUUUUUUUACUUCACUUUUUCUUUCCUUCUCUUUGAUGAGAUCAUCUUAGAUAAAUUGUUAAUUGAUUGCAGCAUAUUCAAUUGAAUUCGAUAGUCUAGGUAUCAUAAAUCAUACAUGUUGUGCACCAUUUACAGUAAAUGAACCGUCACAAACCAUACAUAGAGGAGAUGUUGAUUUCAUUAUAAAUCAUACGAUAAUUACAAAAGAUAUGAUAUUAACUUGCAGUAAAUUGCAACAUCGGCACUCUAAUGCUAGACAAAGUAACUAGACAAAGUAAGUCUAAUUAUUGCUAACUUUCCUCAUCUUUCUUGGGCCUUUUGGGUGCUUUUUGUGCAAAAGAGAAAAAGCUAUAACUAAAUUGCCAAUCCAUCACCGACGUUAUAGACUGAUGAAGAAUACCAAAGGGAGUGUUACGAAAUAAUGAGAAUAAAUAAUAAGAAAAAUAGAAUAAGAACACAUAGAUAUACGUGAAAAACUUUAGAUGGGAAAAAUCAUGAGAAAACGAGAAAAAGAUCCGUUAUGUCAAAAAUUGGUACAAAAUGGGAGAGUUGAAAGCGACUACAACAAAAGUAUAAUCAUCGUAACCCUAAAACUAUACAUCAUUAUUAUAUAUAUAUAUAUAUGUAUAUAUAUAUAUAUGCGAGAGUUGAGAACAACUAUGGGAUGAGGUCUAUCGACUCGAUCCCUUCACUACCCCCACAAAUCUCUCAAAAAAUCUCAUAAUUUUAACUUUACUACAUAUAUUGCAUCGCGAGCUUUUCGAAUUGAAUAAAAAAGAAUUUGGAAUCAUCAAACAGUAACAAAGGGAGUGAGAUCAUAACUUUGGAAGGAUUUUUUUUUUUUUUAAAUGUAGACUUGAAUGGUAAAUACUAAAAUGUGUUUGAGAGUGAUACUUGAAAGUAUUUUUAAUAUUUUUAAUAUUCGAAAAAUAAAAAAUUUUCAAAUAUUAAAAAUAUUUCCUAAAAUCAAUAUCAAAAACCAUUUUACAAAAUCAGUAUCAAACUAUCAAACAUAAUUUGAAUUUAAAUAGAGACAAGAACAACAUUGACUCUUGACUCACCAAACCAGUCCUAGUUCACUUAUUGAAUGAAAAGAAAAUAAUUAAAAAUAAAUAACAGCAUCCAUUCUACCAUGUUAUGAAGAGUAAAAGACAAUGGAGAUUUUAACUUUGUUGCCUUAAAAGUCAUGCCCCCUUUCAUGAGUAUAUAUAAUAAAAUAUAUUCGUUUGCAUCUCUUGAAUGCAAAUAAUUUGAUAAUUUUUUUAUAAUUAAUUUAUGAAGAUAACAAUUUGAUAAUUAGACAAUUAUGUUGAUAUUUUGACAUUAUUAUCAAUUUACCAAAUAAGAUUGUUUUUCACCCAACAAUAAUUUACUUAGAAUAAUAAAUAAAUUAAAUUAGCUAACGUAACCAAAGCAUUUGAUUAAAAAUUGGUUUUCAUUUACAAAGAUAAGUUGAAAAUUAAUUUUAAUUUGAUUUAAUUAGGAAAUUAAUUUUUUGCUUGUUAAGUUUGUUUUAAUUUGUAAAUUCAUGUAAAUAAAAAAAAGGAUAAAAAGAUAAUUUUCAUGUGAAAAUUCAUUUAAUUUGAAAAUAAAUGAUGUAAUGUGUUUCAUUGUCGGUUAGCAUUUUUCUUUUUUUCUUGUUUGUAUAACUUUUUAAAAUGUAAAAGAUAAUAAUAAAAUAAGAAAUAAUCAAUAAAUUAAAAAAAUAAAAUAAAUGAUCUCACUAAAAAUGUUUUUUUACCUUAUGUCAUAUGACUUGGAUUAUUUUUUUUCUCUUUUCAGUAAAACAAACUUUUAAUAUAAAUAAAAAAAUAAAAUAGGACAUAGAGGAAAAUAGCUAAAGAGUAUAAAAAAAAUUCAAAAUAAUGCACUAAAAAUGGAAAGAGAAUAUGGUGAGUAGUUGAAUAAUAAUAAAUAAAAAAAAGUCAAAAAAGCUUCAAUACUCUUUGAAUCCACUGUUAGUGAAUGCCAAAAGGCAUACAUCAUACACGCAACUAGAAAUAAAAUGGUAAAAUAUAAAGAAAAGAGUCAGAAAAAGCACGAAGACUACAAUUAAUAAUCGUGGCAGGACUUCGACUCUCGUGAACCCCCCACUGUCACUCAAUGCUAUAGGGUUACAGGCUUGGAGCCAAUCAAAGAUAAUUGAGACAGAAGAACCAGACAUCCUCAACACCAUCGUCUCAGACUCUCAGCAUUCAAAGACCCCUUUGUAUUUUCUUCUUCCAAAUUCUGUUCUUGUAAUUUUGUUACAAUCCAACCAUGGCUUCCACUAGCAAUCCCAAGAGACCCUCUUCUUCUUCUAAUUCUAAAUGGAGGUACGAUGUGGUCUUGAGUUUCAGAGGCGAGGAUACCCGCAACAACUUUACUAGUCAUCUCUACAAGGCUUUGGAUCAUGCCAACAUUGAAACCUUUAUAGAUGAUGAAGGACUUCCAAGGGGAGAAGAGAUUGCGCCCGAGCUCCUAAAAGCUAUUGAAGGAUCAAGGAUUGCCCUUAUUGUCUUCUCGAAAACCUAUGCUCAUUCCAAGUGGUGCUUGGAUGAACUCGUCAAGAUCAUGGAGUGCGAGAAAGAAAAGGGACAACAGGUUUUUCCUAUUUUCUAUCAUGUAGAGCCGUCUGAAGUCAGGAACCAGACUGGGAUUUAUGGAGAAGCAUUUAACAAUCACGAAAGAAAUGCAGACGAGGAGAAGAAGAAGAAGAAGAUAGAGCAGUGGCGGACUGCCUUAAGGAAAGCUGGUAAUUUGAGUGGAUUUCCUCUGCAGGAUAGGUAAUCCCUACUUCACUUUUUCCAUUCCCAAUUUUCUGUCAGUUUAUUUUCAUUCUUGUUAAUAAAUAAAAUAUUUAUGAUUACAUUUAUCAAUCAAAAUCCAUUUUUAAGUAGUAGACAUUAAUAUGUUCGAUUUCUUGGAAAGUAAUAAGAAAGAGUAAAAAAAAAAAAAAAAAAGAUUUUCUCACAUUUAAUUUAUUAUUAAAAUUAUAAAAGGAAAUCAAAUAUAAUUAAAAUAUAUCAGAAAAAAUUAUAUUUGCCCAGCAGGUGGAAAUGCCAAGUUUUGAAUUGUUAAAAAUCUUUAAGAUUCCAAAAUAUUCUUCCUUUCUAAUCGAUCCAUCUUAGCCAUAAUUUCUAUCAGUUAAAAAAAAUGGUAGUCUGUCAAAUAAAUUGUUAAAAUUGGUUAUUUAUAUGCCUUGUAAAUUUGGAGAUAAUCUGAGAUGAUUAUUUAAAAUAUUGUAAUACUACCCUAAAUUUUUUUGGACCCUCUUAUGGGACAAAAAACUUAGUUAUUGCACCCUUAACCUUUUUCAAUUUUAGAGGAAUUUUCCAUUACUUAAAUAAUUUUCUCUUCUUCUCUGUGCACUACAUGAGUUUACAUUUCUUCUUUACUUAAUAUUGUUUGUUCCUCUAUAUUUGCAAGUUGAUUAUUAAAUUUAUUUACCUUUUAAUCUAAUGUUUGUAUCUCGUUUUAUUCUAAUUAUCCCAUGACUCUUCUUAAGACCUUGUCUUUCACGUUGAAUCAUCUAAUGCUAAACUUAUUCCCUUACUAUUCUACUUUGUGUACUCAUGGGAUUAAUGUAUUGCAAUCAAAAUUAUUUUUUUUAAUCUCUUUUUCUCUUGUAUGUUCUACAUUCCUCUAUACCUCACAAAUAAAAGCAAGUAACCUUACAGCUUGUUUGACAAUAUAUUUGCAACUAAUGUUCAAAAAAUAGUUUUCCCCAACACAAUGUUGAAAAUAAUGAACAAAAUUUUAUUUGAAAAUUCAAAUAUGAAGAACGACUUUCUCGACUUAUUAACUAUGAAGGUGCUAUAAAUUUUUGUACAACAUAACAAUUCUCUAAGUAUUAUCUAUAUUUUCAAUUCUUUAUCACAAUACUCUAUAAGAAAAUACCUAAAAACAUUUCAAAUAUGCUCUUAAAAAUGAACUUGUUUACCAAACAAAUUUUUGAAAAUUAUUUUUAAUAAAAGAAAAAAUUAAAAAUAUAAUCAAGUGACAUGAAAUAUGGGAUGAAAAAUAAUAAGUUCUGUAUAUUAGAUUGACUAUACACACAGUUUAUAUUGGAUAUUACAAGAGAAGAAAUAAGAAACAAGAGACAUAAUAGAAAACUAACUUAUUCAUAAACUAACUUAUUCCUAAAUCAUAAAACUAUCUAUUUACAAAAAUAAAAAACUAAUAUAAUAUGAAAAUAAUUCUCCUAUUCUAUUUACAGCUCAAUUACAACCUAUUUACAGCUCAACACUCCCCCUCAAGCUAAGGAAUAGAUGUCUUCCAUUCCAAGCUUGAAUACAAGAUCGUGAAACAUUGAACUGUUCAGCCCUUUUGUUAGGAUAUCAACUAAUUGAUGUUUUGAUGGAACAUAGGACAUACACACUACUCCUUCCUCCAAUUUUUCUUUGAUAAAAUGCCUAUUAAUCUCAAUAUGUUUUGUCCUAUUGUGUUGUAUAGGGUUAUGAGCAAUAUUGAUAGCUGACUUGUUGUCACAAUAGAGCUUCAUAUGACCAUCCCACUUGAUUCUCAAAUCAUCUAGAAUAAUCUUCAGUCAAAGUAGUUCAUACAACCCUUGAGCAAUGUCCCUAAACUCUGAUUUUGCAGACGACCUUGCUACCACAUUCUGCUUUUUACUUUUCCAUGUUACCAGAUUACCUCGAGGAAAAGUACAAUACCCUAUAGUUGAUCUUCGAUCCACUAGGGAACCUGCAUAGUCAACGUCAGUAUAUGCUUCUAGAGUAAGAGUAUUGUUCUUUUUGAACAAAAUUCCUUUCCCGGGGUUGCCUUUCAAGUAAUGCAGCACCCUGUAAGCAACUUGAAGAUGAGGUUCUCUUGGAUCAUGCAUGAAUUGACUGAUCACGCUCACCGAGUAGGCGAUGUCUGGCAAGUGUGAGCAAGGUAUAUGAGCCUACCAACUAGCCUUUGGUACAUUCUUUUAUCCACCACUGGUUCUUCUUUAGCUUCUCCCAACUUGUGAUUUGGAUCCAUUGGGGUAGAGACUAGUUUACACCCAAUCUUCCUUGUUUCUGUCAAUAAAUUAGUCACAUACUUUUGUUGAUAGAUGAAGAUCUCUUGUGUGGAAUAUGCCACCUCAAUAUUGAGGAAGUGCUUUACUUUCCCUAGUUCCUUUAUCUCAAACUCUGUUGCUAAUCUUUGCUUCACUUCAUGCUUUUCUCUCUCAUCAUUUCCAGUCAUUAUGAUGUCGUCAACAUAGACUAGAAAAGCAAUUACUCCCCCUGUAGCCGAGUGCUUAAUGAAGAGAGUGUGGUCACCUUGGCUUUGCUUGUACCCAUACUCUUUCAUGACUUUUUCAAAUCUCUCAAACCAAGCCCUAGGAGAUUGUUUUAGCCUAUAAAGGGCCUUUUUCAGCCUACACACCUUGUUACCUAUGUUUCCCUCAAAUCUUGGUGGGAUGUUCAUGUAAAUCUCUUCAUCUAAAUCACCAUGAAGAAAUGCAUUCUUAACAUCAUACUAUAGGAGUUGCCAAUUGUAGUGGGUAGCCAAGGACAGUAGGAUUCUUAUAGUAUUCAUUUUUGCAACUGGAGCAAAAGCCUCCUGAUAAUCAACUCCAUAAGUUUGAGUGUACCAUUUGGCUACCAAUCUUGCUUUAUGUCUCUCAAGAGAUCCAUCAGUCUUAUAUUUCAGCGUGAAAAUCCACUUGCAAUUAACAAUGUUUUUCCCUUUCGUCUUUCAACAAUCUCCCAUGUUUUAUUAUUUUCUAAUGCAUUCAUCUCCUCUCUCAUAGCAUCCUUCCAUUCCCUUUUUGUCAAUACCUCAGAAACAGUGUUAGAGAUGAUAGUGGUGUUUAAACUCACAAUGAAAUUCUUGUGGGCUAGUGAUAGGUGCUUAAGAGACACAUAGUGUGAUAGUGGAUAGAGUGGUUAAUUAGUGCAUUAUCCGGUGCCUUUUCUGACAGCAAUGAGAAGGUCUAGGUCUAGGUUGUCUGUUGAGUCAAUGGAAGUUUCACCAAGUUGUGUAUGUAAAGGUGGGUCUAAUCUUACCGUGAUUUCAUUCCUAGGAUUUGAGUUGGAUUCUUGGACCUGCUAUUGUUCUGGAAUGACCUUUUCCCUUUAAUACAUCUUAGGAAACUGUGGAAAAUUACAAGUGACACUGGUUGGAAUAGGGAAUGACACGGGUUUAGUGGUAAAAUUGGGUGACUCAGGUGUGAUUAGUUCGGAUGACUCAAGUUCUUCAUCACCAUGGGUUGAGACAUGAGGAAGGUUAAGAGGUUCAAAGGAGUCACAAGGACUAUCCUCCAUCAUUGAAAUCUCCCCCUAAAUAGAGGACUUGGGAAAAAAGGUUUAUUUUCUGUGAAGGUGACAACUGCAGAGAUGUAAAAUUUUCUGGCUAAGGGAUUGUAACACUUGUAUCCUUUUUGAGUAGAUGAGUAAACCAAGGAAGACACAUUUUAUGGCUCGGGGGUCUAGCUUGUCUCUAUGAUGGUUGUGGACAUGAACAAAUGCAAUGCAUCAAAAUACACUAGGAGUGAGCCCAUAUGAGGUUCUAAAGUGUGGAUAGAAACUCUUAAGUAUCUCUACGGGGCUUUUGUUGUCUAACACUUGUGAGAGAAUUCUAUUUAUCAUGUAUGUGGCAGUAAGAACAGCUUCCCCCCAAUAGGACUUAGGAACAUUCCCUUGAAAGAGUAAGGCUCGGGUUGUGUUGAGUAAAUGCCCAUUUUUUCUCUCGGGUAUCCCAUUUUGUUGGGGUGUGUUAACACAUGAUGAGUCAUGGAGAAUGCCCUGUGAUUGAAAAUUGGGUGACAAAGUAUGGUUAAAGUAAUCUCUAGCAUUGUCUGUCUUAAAACUUUUUAUUUUAACCCCAAAUUGGUUUUGAACCAUUGAGUGGAAAUUAGGUAUAACAAUGCUAACAUCAGAUUUUUGUUUAAGAAGAAAGAUCCAUGUAAUCUGAGUGCAGUCAUCAAUUAAGGAUACAAACCAACGAGCCCCAUAAACAUUAGGUAUAGUCGAAGGACCCCAUAUGUCACUAAGAAUCAAAUGAAAAGGAUGAGAACUUCUUUUAUUGCUAAUAGGAAAAAAUUCACGAGUAUGUUUUGUCAAUUCACAAGUUUUGUAAUGAAACUUAGAAAUAUCUAAUCCUUGAAACAAAUGAGGAAACAUGACCUUUAAAACCCUAAAAGAUGGAUGACCUAGACGUAGGUGAUACAACCAAAUGGUAUCUUUAUUUAAGGAACUCUAAAAAGACACACAAAUUAUUACUAGUUUUCUGAGAUGAUUCAAGGUGAUAAAGACCGCUCAUUUCCUUAGCAAGUCCAAUCCUCCUUCCCGAGCCUUGUUCCUGAAAAACACAAUAAGAAUGGAAAAAAAUAGCAGAACAUUUAAGAUCAUGGGUAAGCUUUUGAAUGGAAACAAGGUUGGCCGACAAUUUUGGUACAUGGAGGACAUUUUUAAGAAUAAGGGUAGGUGUGAUAUAUAUGUCUCUGAAACCUGCAACGGUAACUAAAAAGCCAUUGGCCAUUGCAAUUUUCUUGUUACUUGGGUUUGAGGUAUAGGUAUGGAAAAGUUGAGAUUUGGAGGUCAUAUGGUCUGUGGCACCGAAGUCUAUUAUCCAAUAGUCAUUAUAAACCUUGUGUGAGGCAUUUAUGCAAAAUGAGAGUGAAGGUGUACCUGAAUUUUCCAACAUCUUCCACGAAAAAAAAAACCUGAUCUCUUGGGAAUUAAGGUAGAUCGCGAAACAAAAAAACCAGCAACAAUGAAGGUUGGUAAAAGAACACGUGAAUAAAAAAAAUCUAACUAUGAAGGCCAGAAAAAUGGCGAUGAAGGCCAGAAUGAUGCCCAGGUCUUAAAAACCUACUGCUCUGAUACCAUGACACGAAAUGUGGGAUGAAAAAUAAUAAGUUUUGUAUAUUAGAUUGACUAUAUACAUAGUUUAUAUUGGAUAUUAUAAGAGAAGAAAUAGGAAACAAGAGACAUAAUAGGAAACUAACUUAUUCCUAAAUCAUAAAACUAUCUAUUUACAAAAAUAGGAAACUAACAUAAUAGGAAAAUAAUUCUCCUAUUCUAUUUACAGCUCAAUUACAACCUAUUUAUAGCUCAACAUUAAGUUAUAAAACUAUUUUAUAUUCUAAAGAAAAAAAAAAUCUAUUUUCAAAAACAAUAUCUAUAUAAGCAUUUUUCUUUUAAGUAUGAUUUUAAAAUGUUUUUCCAUGAGUCUAAUUGUUGCUAGGAUUUUGACCAAUAAACAAAUAUGUGUGACUUUCCUCGUCAUUGUAAUUUAUAUUUGGGAAAAAAAUGGGGAUUUCAUCAAAAUAUGAAACUUAUGUAACAAUUAUUAGCAACCUAAAUAUAAAUAAAACUAAAACGGAGAAUUUACUUGUUUAUGGAAUAAAUAGUUGAAAAUUUUAUAAGCAUUGAGGAUGGUCAUAAAUCAUGUUGUAAUUAAUAAAAGCAUUUCUAGGUUAUGGAACUUGGGUGGCAAAUUGGUAGAUUUCUAGCCAAACUAGUAUUUGUCUCUAUAAUAAAAUCUCUUAUCAUAAAGGGUAAUGAUACUUUAGAAAGGUCAACUUCAAAUUGGGCCUUUAGAAGCAAUUAAGAUAUUUACAUUAUUUUAUUGCAUGUAUACUUGACAUGACAUAAUGAAAUUUUAUUUAAACAUGCAAUUCAACACAUUUUUAAUUUACAUUCUAUUUGACCUUAAUUUAAUGGCACCGAACGAAACUAAGAAUCAUUCUAUAAUUUCCAUUUACUUCAUCUUUGUUUUCUUUGACAAUUGAUUGUAGCUCACUGCAUGUUUUAUUGUACUUUAUAAUGGACAGAUUUGAGUCAGAGUUUAUUCAAGAAAUCAUUGGUGAGAUUCGAAGAUUAACUCCUAAGUUGGUACAUGUUGGUGAGAACAUAGUUGGAAUGGAUGAAAAUUUGAAAGAGGUGGAGUUAUUGAUAAACGCCCAAUCAAAUGGAGUGAGCAUGGUUGGGAUUUAUGGGAUUGGUGGGAUUGGUAAAACUACCAUUGCCAAGGUUGUUUACAAUGAUAUGUUAGAUCAAUUUCAACGUCACAGCUUUCUUGAAAAUGUGAGGGAGAAAUCUAAAGAUGAUCAUGGUUUGCUUGAAUUACAAAAAAAACUUCUUUGUGAUAUCCUAAUGGAGAAAAAUCUGAAGUUAAGAAAUAUUAAUGACGGUAUCAAAAUGGUAAAGAGGAAGUGUCGCAUUGAAAAGGUUCUCAUUGUUCUUGAUGAUGUAGAUUGUCAAAAACAAUUAAAAUUCUUAGCUCCUAAUUCUGAAUGUUUUCAUCAAGGAAGCAUAAUCAUCGUGACCACGAGAAAUAAACGUUGCCUAGAUGUACAUAAGUCAUAUUCAUCAUAUGAGGCUAAGGGAUUAGCACACACGCAAGCUAAGGAACUCUUUUGUUGGAAUGCCUUUCAGCAAGACCAUCCCGAGUAUGAGGACCUCUCUAAUUGUAUACUAGAUUAUGCUAAAGGCCUUCCAUUGGCUCUUGUAGUUUUGGGUUCUUUUCUCUAUCAAAGGGAUGUGGAUUACUGGGAAAGCACACUGCAUAAACUAAAAACAAACCCUCUUGAGGAUAUUCAAAAGGUACUCCAGAUAAGUUAUGAUGGACUAGAUAAUAAAUGGAAGGAGUUGUUUCUUGAUAUUGCAUGUUUCUUCAGAAAUGAGGAUAAAAAAGUUGUUACAAGAAUACUAGAAGGUUGCAAAUUCCAUCCUAAGUCUGGACUAACGGUUCUUCAUGAGAGGUGUCUUAUUUCUAUAACAGACGACACCAUAAGGAUGCAUGACUUGUUACAAGAAAUGGGUUGGGCAAUUGUUCGCCAAAAUUUUCCAGAACAUCCUGAAGAAUGGAGCAGAUUGUGGGAAUUACAGGAUAUUAAAAGUGUUUUACCACAAAAUAAGGUAGGAGAAAAAUACAUGAACUUACUUGAGAUCUAAAGACAUAUAAAAGAUUCAACAAGAAUUAUUUUUAUUAUUAUUAUAGUUUUGAGUAUCUUAUCUAUAUAAUUUUAGUGAAUCCCUAUGCAUCUUAUAUUGCUUAUUCUCAAUGCUUGUUUUCAGGGGACAAAAAACAUAGAGGGGAUAUCCAUAAAUCGGUCUUGGGAUAGUAAAAAACGUAUACAACUUACUGCUGAAGCUUUCAGAAAGAUGAAUCGACUUAGAUUGCUCAAAGUUAAAGGCGAUAUGGUGCAGCUUUCCUAAGACUUUGAAUUGCCUUGUCAUGAUUUAGUAUAUUUUCAUUGGGAUAACUACCCUUUGGAAUAUUUGCCAUCAAAUUUUCAUGUAGAAAAUCCUGUUGAACUUAACCUCUGGUACAGCAACAUAGAACAUCUUUGGGAAGGAAACAUGGUAUUGCUAUUAUUUAGUUAUAUUUUUGCUCUAGACUAAUUUUAAAGUCUUUUGAAGUUUACUUAUUGAAACGAAUUUUCUUCUGUUACAGCCUGCUAAAAAGUUAAAAGUCACUGAUCUUAGUUAUUCCAGGCAUCUGGUUGACAUUUCAAACAUCUCAAGUAUGCAAAAUUUGGAGACUCUAAUUCUAAAAGGUUGUACAAGGUUACUUAAGUGUUUCACCCAUGCUUAAUGUUAUUAUUAGUCAUGAACUAACUGUUUUCUUGAAUAUAAUAGGAUGCAAGAGACUUGAGAGUCUUCCAAGGAACUUUCAUAAGCUGGAAUGCCUUCAAACACUCUCUUGUGAUGGCUGUUCAAACUUAAAAGUUUUCCGAAGAUCAAGGAAGAAAUGAGAAGUCUAAGAAAGCUUAAUUUAAGUCAUACAAGUAUAAUGGAAUUAACAUCAUCAAUUAGGCAUCUAAAUGGGCUUGAAGAGUUGGACUUAAGUAAUUGCAAAAACCUUUUGAGUCUUCCGGACAGUAUUGGUAGUUUGAACUCUCUUCAAACUCUCGAUCUAGUUGAGUGUUCAAAACUAGUGGGUUUUACAAAUAUCAAUAUUGGAAGUCUAAAAGCUCUUGAAUAUUUGGAUUUGUCAUGGUGUGAGAACCUUGAGAGUCUUCCAAAUAGUAUUGGUAGUUUGAGCUCUCUUCAAACUCUUUUAUUGAUAGGGUGUUCAAAAUUGAAGGGCUUUCCAGAUAUCAAUUUUGGAAGUCUAAAAGCUCUUGAAUUGUUAGAUUUCUCACACUGCAGAAACCUUGAGAGUCUUCCUGUGAGCAUUUACAAUUUGAGCUCUCUCAAAACUUUGGGGAUUACAAAUUGUCCAAAACUCGAGGAAAUGUUAGAGAUUAAAUUAGGGGUUGAUUGGCCAUUUUCACCUCUAACCUGUCACAUUUCAAAUUCAGCAAUAACCUGGUAUGAUGACUGGCAUGACUGCUUUUCCUCAUUAGAAGCAUUAAACCCACAGUGCCCCCUGUCAUCACUGGUAGAAUUAUCUGUAAGAAAGUUUUAUGGCAUGGAAGAAGACAUCCUCAGUGGCAGUUUCCACCUAUCCUCAUUGCAAAUAUUAUCUCUAGGGAACUUCCCUAGCGUGGCAGAAGGAAUCCUCGAUAAGAUUUUCCAUCUAUCCUCGUUGGUAAAAUUAUCUCUUACUAAAUGCAAGCCAACGGAAGAAGGAAUCCCUGGUGAUAUUUGGAACCUAUCUCCACUGCAACAAUUAUCUCUACGUGACUGCAAUCUAAUGGAAGGAAAGAUCCUCAAUCAUAUUUGCCAUCUAACAUCCUUGGAAGAAUUAUAUCUGGGUUGGAACCAUUUUAGUAGCAUACCUGCUGGCAUCAGUCGACUUUCUAAUCUAAAGGCCCUUGACUUGAGUCAUUGCAAGAACCUUCAACAAAUUCCAGAGCUUCCAUCAAGUCUACGAUUUUUAGAUGCGCACUGUUCGGAUGGUAUUUCAUCAAGCCCCUCGCUUCUACCUAUUCAUUCUAUGGUCAAUUGCUUCAAAUCAGAAAUUGAGGUAUGAUUCUCAUGCCACGUUCCUCUUUCUUUUGUACCCAUUGAAUUUACAUGGUGCUUUUGUGCAGGACCGCAAGGUUAUUAAUCAUUAUUCUUACUUCUGGGGCAAUGGAAUUGGUAUUGUUAUUCCUAGAAGUAGUGGAAUUCUAGAGUGGAUAACAUAUCGGAAUAUGGGAAGGAAUGAAGUAACAGUAGAGCUCCCUCCGAAUUGGUAUAAAAAUGAUGACUUGUGGGGAUUUGCUUUAUGCUGUGUUUAUGUUGCACCUGCCUAUGAAUCUCAGUAUGAAUUAGGUCAUAUAUCUAAGGAUGACGCUGAACUUGAAGAUGAAGGACCAGGGUUCUGUUGUGAUUUGAGUAUCGAAGGAAAUAAUCAAUCAGGAGACGUGGGUUUUUUCCUUCUUUAUUCUUGCUGUGUUAAAUAUGAUGUGUCAGAUAUGCAGUGGGUGAUAUGUUAUCCCAAGUUAGCUAUUGAGGAAAGUUAUCACACCAAUCAAUGGACACACUUCAAGGCUUCAUUUGGUGGUGCCCAAGUGGAAGAGUGCGGAAUCCGUCUUGUAUACACAGAAGAUUAUGAACAGAAGCAUCCAGCAAUGGCACAAGGCAGUACUUCUCAUGGGAAUUUUGGUGAGCAUGGAUCGGUAAGAGAAGAUACUGAUAGUAAGCUCACAAUAAAAGGAAUCCCACAGAACAGAGCCCAAGAGAGGAGUCACACCAUAAAAGAUCCAUAGAAACCCAAGACUGAUCCCAAGUAUUAGGCUCAACCACACUUGCAUCACUAAUGCUAUCUUUACUGGUAAUUCAUCUUCCUUUCUCUUUCUAAUUCAAAGGUCAGAAUUUUUUUUUAUCGUGUUUCUCCUUUUUAUUUGUCUUUUUCCCCAAGACAAACAAAACUUUGAGGCUAUCACCCAUGGGCGCAAACUUCAAUGGUACACCUCCCAAGUUUGUUUUUCUCUCUCUCCAACCGUCUUUCCCUAGAUUUUUCUGCAUUUUCUUCAAACCCAUAUUUCCAUAUGAAAUUCAAUUACAUUCGAGCAUUUCAAUCUCUGUAGCUACUGUCUGAAUCAUUUAUAGGGUUUCUUUUUUCUGGAAGUUUGUAAUGUUAUUGAUUUAAGACUUCAUGUUUGGGGAUGUUUUGGGUGGCUUGUUCACUGGUAUUAAUUGUGAUAAUUGCAGCUCUGGUGCUUUCAAUGACUUUGACAAUAGUCGAAACUAUGUUGAAUGCUUGUACCAAGGGAAUGGACUUCAGUUGCUCUAGGGUUAGUGCUAUAACAUCAGUAUUCACUCUUCAAGAAUGUAUAUAGUUGUUGUUUUGGAAUUUUGAAAUUACUUAGCAUCAGACAAUUUCUAACUCGGGAUUUGGAUUGGGAACCAUAAGUUAUCAUUAGAGAGUGUAUGAGAAGGAAUUUUAGAGUGAGAUGGGUGAUGCAUGUUGAGGGAUGAAAGAGGGAUGUAUCUCACCCUAGAGUUCUUUGGAAUAAUUAUAGGAUUUUGUAAGUAACUUUGGACUUACUUGCAAUGUUCUGGAUUUGUGAAUAAUUUAUAGAAUGCAUUGGGUUUUUUUUUUUUGUUUUUUUUUUUGGUCCAUAAGAAACUAAAAGAACUUUGAGAGUGAAUAAUGUAUGACUGUACUCUUCUCUAUCUCUCUGGUCAUAGCACACGUAUGAUUUGGUACUUUUUUGCAGGCUUCAACAGCAGCAAAGCAUCUGGUGGCUUGCAGUACUAAUCUUACAUUAUAUUCUCUGUUUUGCAAUCAUUUGGUACUUUUUGUCCCAACCAAGGAUAGCUCUGUGCAACAGUCUCGACUGUGGAACAAGUAAAACAAAUGGUACCUGCUGAAGCUGAGAGGGCAGAUAAUAAAUUGGUGCGGAAGGUGGUCAACCAAAAGAAUCAGACAGCAAAAACUAAAAAAGCCGAUGAAGCCUGCUACUGAAGCAGUCUCAGCACCUGUUUCUAGGAGGGGUGAGAUUGAAGUGACUGAAGAAAAGGAGCGUGAGCAAACAAAGAAGGAAGAGGAGUUGGCCAGGAAGGUAGAGGAAUUGAGAAGUGAAGAGGAAGCAGCCAUGUUGAAGGAGAAAAGUCUGUUGGAGGAGAAAGCCAACGUUAAGAAGGCAUUGGAAAGGAAACAAGGAACUGCAGAAAAGGCCAAUUUCUCUGUGAGUGCUGCCACCUUUUCGUGAUACAGCCAUAAUAAUGGAUGUUAAAAGCAGUCUAACUCUACAUGGCGUUUAUUUUCCCCAGCCAUAGAUUGGAAUCUGCCAGUCUGACUCUCAUAAGAAAGAAAAUUUUCCAUCGAUCCUCGUAUGGAUUAUUGGAGAAGAUUUUAACAUGGAGUUCACAAGAGAGUUUCUAACACCCACUUAAAAGGACAUUUUAGAAAACUUAUUGAAAAAUAACAUGAGAGUACAUAAAUUUUUAGAUAUUUUUAAAAAUAUUUGAAAAUUUAAAUUAACUAAAAGUAUUUGAAAAAUAUUUGAUUGAAUUAACAAAUAUCAAGUAUUUGCAUAUGAAAAAAUAAUAAACAUUGUGAAGAAUUUUUUUAUUAAUUAGUGCAUAAUAAUUUUAUUUUCCUUUUAAUCACAAAUUAAUCUAUGGCAAAAUCUCAUAUUUGUUGUAGGGACAAUGUUGUCUUACAUUUUUCUUUCAUGAUGGACUCAAAUUUUAAUUUAAAUGUAGUAUAAAUAUAUAAUUAGAUUGAAAUUUCGUCCACUAAGAUUGAUUGGGUAUGAAUUUGAACCCUCGUUCGGGUCAUACUUCCAUCCAAUCCAAGCUUGUGGUUGGGCUUGAAUUUCUUGGCCCAACCAGUAAUGUCAUUGACCAAUAGCCCUUAGUUUGGGCUGGGCUUGAUGGUCCUCAGGCUAUGCAGACUUAAUACUCAUUGGGUUUGGGAUUCCAUGUAGUUGUAAUUAGAUUCUAUGUUUCCUAAUAUUAACACUAAAUUAGGUUUAAUUUAUAAUUAAAUAUAAUUAGAAGAGGAAAAUGAAAUAUCAUAUCCUUGCAAUGAGUUAUGUGGAUAUUUCAUUUAAAAAGUCUAAUGUGAAAGGUUGUUAUGGGUAGUCGUUUUUUGAUGCAAAUUUUCUAUGGAGUCCUAAUCUUAGAAGGCAAUAGAAAAUUCACAACCAAGAUUUCUUAAAAAUAACUACAUUAAAGUGUAAACAAAAUAUCAAACUAGAAUUUCUUAGAAAUAUCAAACUAGAAAGUGAAAUAUAAUACAAUUCAAGUAUGAAAAUGAAGGACAAAAGAAUAGACCAAAUUUGAAAGACCGUUCAAAGACUCGUUUCUUGUUACAAUCCAAUCAUGACUUCCACUAGUAGAGAUCCUCUUCUUCUUCUUCUUCUUCUAAUUCCAAAUUGAGGGACCAUGCGUUCUUGAGUACCCUCAAAAGCUUUUUUGAUCAUUUAUACUGUAUAACCUUACUUGUAAUAACUGUAUAAGAUAUUUGUGCUAAUUGAUAAGAUAUUUGUGCUAAUUGUAUAAAACAUGUCCUUAUACAUCUUGAAUUUAUAAAUUUAUGAAUUUAUGAAUAACCCAAUAAUCAAUGACUUCUUAAUAAAAUUUUUUUAAUUUUGUUGCCUUAAAAGUCAUGUCCCUCCUUUACAAAGCUUCUUAGAAAUUUCAUAUAUUUUUUUUUGUCAUCAUCUAUAUUUCAUAUUUCUUUUUCGUCUUCAAUAUUUGUGUAUAUAUCUAAAAUAAAACCUAUAAGAAAAUGAAAAAUUUACACUUAAAAAGUGUUUAUUUGAAAUUUAGGCAAUGAACUUAAAGGAGUUUGGAAUUACUCCUCGAAGUUGAUAUGUUUGUUUUAAAAUCAAAGUGGAUUUCAAUUUUCUUUAAAUCCACGUUAUGAUAUUACGGUAAUAUGUAGUGUCUUUAAAACCAUGGCUUCCUCUAGCAAUUCUAAGAGACCCUUUUACUCUUCUUCUUCUUCUAAUUCUAAAUGGAGGUACGAUGUGUUCUUGAGUUUCAGAGGCGAGGAUACCCGCAACAACUUUACUAGUCAUCUCUACAAGGCUUUGGAUCAUGCCAACAUUGAAACCUUCAAAGAUGAUAAAGAACUUCGAAGGGGAGACGAGAUUGCACCCGAGCUCCUAAAAGCUAUUGAAGGAUCAAGGAUUGCCCUUAUUAUCUUCUCGAAAACCUAUGCUCAUUCCAAGUGGUGCUUGGAUGAACUCGUCAAGAUCAUGGAGUGCAAGGAAGAAAAGGGACAAAAGGUUUUUCCUAUUUUCUAUCAUGUAGAGCCGUCUGAAGUCAGGAAACAGACUGGGAUUUAUGGAGAAGCAUUUAAC